rnacentral:rRNA from 1 species
AUACGGAGGAUCCGAGCGUUAUCCGGAUUUAUUGGGUUUAAAGGGUGCGCAGGCGGGAGAUUAAGUUGGCGGUGAAAUUUUGCAGCUCAACUGUAAAAGUGCCUUCGAAACUGGGUUCCUUGAGUGUAGAUGAAGUAGGCGGAAUUUGCGGUGUAGCGGUGAAAGGCAUAGAUAUCACGAGGAACUCCGAUUGCGCAGGCAGCUUACUAAACUACUACUGACGCUCAGGCACGAAGGCGUGGGGAUCAAACAGGAUUAUAUACCCUGGUAGUCCACGCAGUAAACGAUAAUUACUAGCUGUUUGCGAUACAAUGUAAGCGGCUGAGCGAAAGCGUUAAGUAAUCCACCUGGGGAGUACGUUCGCAAGAAUGAAACUCAAAUGAAUUGACGGGG